rnacentral:rRNA from 1 species
AGUGAACGCUGGCGGUAGGCCUAACACAUGCAAGUCGAACGGCAGCACAGUAAGAGCUUGCUCUUACGGGUGGCGAGUGGCGGACGGGUGAGGAAUACAUCGGAAUCUACUUUUUCGUGGGGGAUAACGUAGGGAAACUUACGCUAAUACCGCAUACGACCUACGGGUGAAAGCAGGGGAUCUUCGGACCUUGCGCGAUUGAAUGAGCCGAUGUCGGAUUAGCUAGUUGGCGGGGUAAAGGCCCACCAAGGCGACGAUCCGUAGCUGGUCUGAGAGGAUGAUCAGCGACACUGGAGCUGAGACACGGUCCAGACUCCUACGGGAGGCAGCAGUGGGGAAUAUGGGACAAUGGGCGCAAGCCUGAUCCAGCCAUACCGCGUGGGUGAAGAAGGCCUUCGGGUUGUAAAGCCCUUUUGUUGGGAAAGAAAAGCAGCAGGUUAAUACCCCGCUGUUCUGACGGUACCCAAAGAAUAAGCACCGGCUAACUUCGUG